GUGGGGAAUCUUGCGCAAUGGGCGAAAGCCUGACGCAGCCAUGCCGCGUGAAUGAUGAAGGUCUUAGGAUUGUAAAAUUCUUUCACCGGGGACGAUAAUGACGGUACCCGGAGAAGAAGCUCCGGCUAACUUCGUGCCAGCAGCCGCGGUAAUACGAAGGGGGCUAGCGUUGCUCGGAAUUACUGGGCGUAAAGGGCGCGUAGGCGGACAGCUUAGUCAGAGGUGAAAGCCCAGGGCUCAACCUUGGAAUUGCCUUUGAUACUGGCUGUCUUGAGUGUGGGAGAGGUGAGUGGAACUCCGAGUGUAGAGGUGAAAUUCGUAGAUAUUCGGAAGAACACCAGUGGCGAAGGCGACUCACUGGCCCAAUACUGACGCUGAGGCGCGAAAGCGUGGGGAGCAAACAGGAUUAGAUACCCCGGUAGUCC
rnacentral:rRNA from 1 species